CCUACGGGUGACAGCAGUGGGGAAUAUUGGACAAUGGGGGGAACCCUGAUCCAGCGACGCCGCGUGAGUGAAGAAGUAUUUCGGUAUGUAAAGCUCUAUCAGCAGGGAAGAAAGAAAUGACGGUACCUGACUAAGAAGCCCCGGCUAACUACGUGCCAGCAGCCGCGGUAAUACGUAGGGGGCAAGCGUUAUCCGGAUUUACUGGGUGUAAAGGGAGCGUAGACGGCGAUGCAAGUCUGAAGUGAAAGGCGGGGGCCCAACCCCCGGACUGCUUUGGAAACUGUAUGGCUGGAGUGCAGGAGAGGUAAGUGGAAUUCCUAGUGUAGCGGUGAAAUGCGUAGAUAUUAGGAGGAACACCGGUGGCGAAGGCGGCCUGCUGGACUGCAACUGACGUUGAGGCCCGAAAGCGUGGGGAGCAAACAGGAUUAGAUACCCUAGUAGUC
rnacentral:rRNA from 1 species